CAGCCGCCGCGGUAAUACGUAGGGGGCAAGCGUUAUCCGGAAUCACUGGGUGUAAAGGGUGCGUAGGCGGCAAUGUAAGUCAGAUGUGAAAUCCCGGGGCUCAACCCCGGGCGUGCAUUUGAAACUGCAUAGCUAGAGUGCAGGAGAGGAAAGUGGAAUUCCUAGUGUAGCGGUGAAAUGCGUAGAUAUUAGGAGGAACACCAGUGGCGAAGGCGACUUUCUGGACUGUAACUGACGCUGAUGCACGAAAGCGUGGGUAGCGAACAGGAUUAGAUACCCUGGUAGUCCACGCCGUAAACGAUGAGUGCUAGGUGUCGGGGGGUCAUACCCUCGGUGCCGGAGCAAACGCAUUAAGCACUCCACCUGGGGAGUACGUUCGCAAGAAUGAAACUCAAAGGAAUUGACGGGGGCCCGCACAAGCGGUGGAGCAUGUGGUUUAAUUCGAAGCAACGCGAAGAACCUUACCAAAACUUGACAUCCUGUUGCCCGGUCCGUAAUGGGACCCUUCUACUUCGGUAGACAACAGAGACAGGAGGUGCAUGGCC
rnacentral:rRNA from 1 species